rnacentral:rRNA from 1 species
GCUUAUACUCGACCGUCAGCGGCACGUGCGAUCGCGCGAGCGAUCACGAAGCCCUGACGAGUAGGAGGGUCGCGGCGGUGAGCGCAGAAGGGCUGGCCGCGAGGCCGUCUGGAGCCGCCGUCGGUGCAGAUCUUGGUGGUAGUAGCAAAUACUCCAGCGAGGCCCUGGAGGACUGACGUGGAGAAGGGUUUCGUGUGAACAGCCGUUGCACACGAGUCAGUCGAUCCUAAGCCCUAGGCGAAAGCCGAUGUCGAUGCGGUGUAGCUUUAUUAAUUUAAAAUAAUUUACGCACACACCCGUCGGGCGAAAGGGAAUC